UAACACGUGAGNAACCUGCCUUUCANAGGGGGAGUAACAGUUGGAACGACUGCUAAUACCGCAUAACGCUGCGAUGGGGCAUCCCGAUGCAGCCAAAGGAGCAAUCCGCUGGAAGAUGGGCUCGCGGCCGAUUAGCUAGUUGGUGGGGCAACGGCCCACCAAGGCGACGAUCGGUAGCCGGACUGAGAGGUUGAUCGGCCACAUUGGGACUGAGACACGGCCCAGACUCCUACGGGAGGCAGCAG
rnacentral:rRNA from 1 species